rnacentral:rRNA from 1 species
GUCUCUUAAUUAGAGUCUGGAAUGAAUGGUUGGAUGAGAAAUUUUCUUUCUUUAUUUUUUAAAAAAAAAUUGAUUUUUAAAUAAAAAAGUUUAAAUGUAUAUAUAGGACGAGAAGACCCUAUAGAGCUUAAUCCUCCCUAAAUAAUUAUUUUUUUGUAAAUAAUUAUUUUUUAUUUUGGGGGAGGAUUUUGUUGGGGUGACAGAAAAAAUUUUAUAACUUUUUUUACUUUUUUCAUUUAUUUGUGUAUUAUUGAUCCUUUAAUAUGGAUAUUAAGAUUAAGCUACCUUAGGGAUAACAGCGUUAUUAUUUUAGAGAGUUCAUAUCGAUAAAAUAGUUUGCGACCUCGAUGUUGGAUUAAAAUAAGUUUCAGGGGCAGAAAAUUGAUUAACUAGGUCUGUUCGACCUUUAAAUUUUUACA